AUGCACCUAUCAGCGUGGGCACCGCCCACAUUUCCCACGGUAUCGUGUCUAUAUAACGCGGUGUAUACCGUCGCUCAUCCUCCCUUUUCUUUCAGCACUUGUGCUUAUCAGCGAGAAAUUGAGAACUACUUUAAGAAGAUGAGAACUUCAACACGGAUCUCCCAAGCCGGUGGCAGCGGCUCGGGCGAGGCCGCGGACAAACGGCCCUUUUCAGGGCCACCUGAGAGCGCUCCUAGAGCUAGGUCCUUUUCAGGACUCCUAUGCGCCUCUUGUCCCGCCUCCCUGGCACCGGGUGACGGGCACUUGGCGUGCUUUUGGUGCCUCGGCGCCGACCACGCCGCGGCUGCUAUGGCGGCCCCCGUCUCCUGUGUCGCCUGCCGGGAGCUGCCUGAAGAGGGGAUCCUCUCCAGGCAUCUCUUCUUUUCCCCUGCGGUGGAAAUGGCUGACGCCAUCGACCUAUUCGGACCUGACGUCGACGAUGGCAUCAUCGACGCCUCCCUGGACGACGUCUUCGGCGACUCGGCGUCCGGUUUUUCCCGCUCUCGGGUUACAACCGCCACCGUCAUACAACACGAGGGUCCGCGCCGGAUGACCGAUCUCUUCCGGGAGAUCAUGGGUGAGGCGGCGGCCAUCAAAGGGAUUCCCAUGCCGGCCCCGCCUCUCGCCCCCGUAUCUGACGAUAUGCAGGGCGAGUGCUUUCGCACCCCAUCUUUUUCAAGGCGGGUUACCCAGUGCCCCUUGUUCCCGCCUUUGCAGCACUUGUUUAUUGCUGCCGGUGAGGACCCUUCGACCCUGAAGGCUCCGGUAAGAUCCUACACGGAUUUCACCAACGUGGAGGGGUGGGCCGAUACUCAGGCGAGGGGGAUCCCUCGUCUGGAGCCUCCCCUGGCAGCGCUUCUCUGUCCGGGCGCCGGAUGGCUCCUUAACGAAAAGCCGCUGCCCCCCGACCGCCUCCAGAAGCAGAUUGUCGGCCUAACGGACAGGGUGUUCGUUUGUGCCUCUCAAUCCGCGGCGGCGGUCAACAACAUCGCCCUGCUCUCCUCUGCCAUGGUCUCCUUGUCGGCUGACACGGAGGCCUACGGCCCGGAGGAAGCCGCGAGAUGGCUGGCGGUUUCCCGCUUUUCCAGCGCCAUCCUCCAGUUAUGCCAGCCGAUAGCCGUUUCGGCCGGCCAGCAUAUGGCGUGGGCUACCAUGAUUCAAAGGGUCAUAUGGCUCUCCCACACUGCGGUGCCGGAACGAGAGCGGGCCAGCCUCGUCCAGGGUCCACUAGCGCCGGAUGGCCUAUUUGGUCCCAGGUUCUCCGAGGUGCUCGCGCACCAGCAGUCAGUCCGUGAGGAUCGUUCCCGGUUCGGGACGAUUCUCACGGGCUCCUCCCGCCAGCAGGCUGAGAGGAAGCGGGGUCUAGGCCGGUCCCAGCGUUCCAUGGGGCCGCCUCCGACUCCAGCCCCGGUGCAGCAGCCGCAGCCGCCGCGCACGGGGAGAGCAGCAGCGCCACGGACCGGGAAGUUCCGGACGCUUGCUCCUACUUUUUCUUUCCCUAUUAAAGAAAAGAGUAAAGACCGUUCGGCCGAACGGCAGUACAUGGUACCUAAAGAGCGAUAUUCCCCAGGCCACCUGCGCCCUACGCUUGUGGUGCGCUCCUCCAUGUUGCCUCUUUCCCCCUCUCAGCCCGGUGGCUGUAGGGUGGCGGUCGGACGGCGUGUUCACAUGGCCUCUGGUUCACCUGCUUCUAAGAAGCGGCGUCCCUUGGAGCCUCGUGGACGGAUCAGAGACUCGUUGCACGGUCUCCUGGUUCCCCACAUUAUAGGUGAGGAGAUGGGUCCGCGCGCUGUGGCUACAGCCUGCGGACAGCGCAUGCGCACAGGUGCUGCGGCCGGACGGCUCGCUCCCUGUUCAGCGGGCACGAGCGCGACGUCUAGACAGCUCGUUGUUUUUACAACUGCUAGUUGUGGUACGUCUCCUACGCUCGCUGAGCCUCCUCCCUUUCGUGGGAAGCCCCCCUUGGUCCACACGCAGUGUGAAGGCGGUAGGGGCAGAGGAAUACGGGUUAUUCCUGGACGGUCUUCCUCAGCUGUCGGCUCGCCCUCUCUCCAACCGCUAUGCGUGUUGGCAAGAGCGGUGCGUUCUGCCAUCGUGGUUGGACACCACGUUGAGAUGGGGCCAUCCCAUACAGUUCAAGCGUCGUCCCCCACCCUUUAUGGGGUUGGUGGAGACCACGCUACGGGACCCGGCUGCGAGCACGGCUCUGGCAGCAGAGGUGGCACGUCUCUUGGUAAAGGGGGCCAUCACUGUCGUUCCCCCCCACGAGUCUCACCUAGGUUUUUAUUCCCGCUACUUCCUGGUUUCCAAGAAGUCAGGGGAAAUGAGACCUAUUCUGGAUCUUCGCGUGUUCAACAGAUUCGUUGCCACGAGGAAGUUCAGAAUGCUCACGGUCGGAGCAUUGUUCCGGUGUGUGAGAGAGGACGAUUGGUUCACAUCCCUGGAUUUCAAGGAUGCUUACUUCCACGUCCCUGUUCGGCAGGCGCACAGGAAGUUUCUCCGCUUUGCCUUUAUGGGGAUGGCGUACGAGUACCAGUGUCUGCCGUUCGGCUAUUCCCUGGCGCCGCGCACCUUCUCGAAGUGUGUGGAGACGGCGUUGGAACCGCUCAGACGUCAGGGAAAGAGGAUUCUCUUCUACCUAGACGAUCUGCUUAUUCUGAGCAACUCAGAAGAGACCGCGAGAAGGGACACCAUGUUGGUGAUAAACCAUCUCUCCUUCCUGGGUUUUGCCAUCAACUGGGAGAAGAGCUCCCCGCUCCCCAGCCGGCAGACAGUCUACUUGGGGCUUGGCCUAGACUCAGCCACCAUGACUGCGAUGCUUUCGCCUCCUCGGCGAGACGCCAUCCUGUCGGCGCUCUCCCGUUUUCACGUUCGCAGAAACGUGACCGCACUGUCCACCAUGCGCCUGUUGGGGCUGAUGGCAGCUGCCCACCCCGUGGUCCCCCUGGGUCUGCUUUUUAUGCGCAGACUCCAGCGGUGGUUUGCUCGCCAACGGUUGGACCCCAGGCGACACAAGCUCAGGGUGCUCCUCGUCCCCCGUUCGGUGUCGCCAGACCUGGAAUAUUGGAAAGGACCCUCCGCCCUUCUCAAGGGUGUUCCACUGGGCAGGGUGGCGUCCUACGUAGUGGUCUUCACGGACGCCUCGUUGACGGGUUGGGGAGGAACGUGCCUCUCUCACUCGGUCGGAGACGAGUGGCGCACGCCCCCUACAGCACACAUAAAUGUGUUGGAGCUCGACGCUGUGAGGAAAGUGCUGUUGCAUUUCUUUCACCUGGUGCGCGGCCGCCACGUUCUGAUCAGGACAGACAGCGUGUCGGCGGCGGCGUACAUCAACAGACAGGGGGGAGUCCGCUCCCCUGCUCUCCACCGAAAGGCGGUCGAGCUCUGGCUUUGGGCUCAUCAGUAUCUCCGCAGUCUGAGAGCCCUGCAUAUCGCGGGCGCCCAGAACUUUGGGGCGGACCUCAUGUCUCGAGGCGGUCCCCGCCGAGACGAGUGGCGGUUACAUCCCGACAUUGUCAGACUGAUCUGGCAGAGGUUCGGGACAGCGCAGGUGGACCUCUUCGCGUCCCGGGAGAACACGCACUGCAGGUGGUGGUUCUCCCUCAGCCCUCGGGAUCUUCCCCCGUUGGGGGUAGAUGCGUUGGCACACACACCUUGGCCGCGGACUCUCUUGUAUGCGUUUCCCCCGCUCCAGCUGAUCCUUCCUCUUCUGGAACGGGUCAGACAGGAGAGACUGUCCCUGAUAUUAGUGGCCCCGGAGAACCGUGCAGCUCUGUGGUUUCCAGAGCUUGCCGCGCUCUCGCGGUCGGCGCCUUGGCCAGUACCAUUCAGGCCGGAUGCGCUUUCACAGGCCCACGGGACGGUGCACCACCCGCCCGAUGUCUCGGGACGGCUGUUGGUUUGGCUCCUGAGAGGUUGAUCCUGCAGGGCAAAGGUUUGCCUGAGACGGUUAUCAACACUAUUCAGAGUGCUCGUGCGCCUUCUACUUCUUCCCUCUAUGCGGCGAAGUGGUGCGCCUUCUCUAAUUGGUGUGAGACGAACCACGCUGUCCCAUCUCAAUGCGAGGUGGGAAGCGUGCUUUCGUUUCUGCAAAACUUAUUGGAAAAAGGUUUGGCCUUCUCCACUAUCAAGGUCUAUGCGGCAGCCGUUUCGGCUGGCCAUGCAGGCUGUGAUGGUGGACCGAUCUUCAGCCAUCCACUGGUCAAGAGAUUCUUGCGUGGGGCUAGACGGGUUAGGCCUGUUUCACGCGUGCUUACACCACGCUGGGAUCUCCCCACCGUGUUGCGCGGAUUGUCCAGGGAUCCUUUCGAGCCUCUCUCCCAGGCCCCUUUGGAUGCCCUGUCAUUCAAGACGGCGCUCUUGUUGGCCUUGGUUUCUGCCAAGCGGGCCGGUGAGCUAACCGCUCUGUCUGUCAGCCCGAGUUGCUUGUUGCUAAACGAGGACAGCUCCUUCGCGUUGCUCAGACCUAAUCCUGCGUUCCUCCCGAAGAACAUUAAUAGUUCUUUUCGGUCGAGGGAUAUUGUGCUUAAGGCUUUUCACCCCCCGCCUCAUUCUAGUGAGGCGGAGGCGGAGUUGCAUCUCCUGUGCCCGGUUCGGGCGUUGGCUAUGUACGUGAAUCGCUCGGCAGCGUUCCGCUCCACACAACAGUUGUUUGUGUGUUAUAGCGACGCUAGCAGGGGCCGCGCUCUCUCUAAGCAGCGGUUUUCUCGCUGGGUAUGUGAGGGUGUUUGCCUAGCCUACUCUCGGCAGGGCUUGGCGCCACCGUUGGGCGUUAAAGCUCACUCCACACGGAGCGUGGCCGCUUCAACGGCUCUACUCAAGGGCGUUUCGGUGGAAGACAUCUGCGCGGCUGCGUCUUGGUCUUCCCCCGGCCCCUUUGUCCGUUUUUACAUGUUAGACAUGUCCAGGGGCUCACUCGGCAACUCUGUGCUAGAGUCCGGGACCCCUUUUACGGCUUAA
ensembl:lncRNA